GGAGCAGGAGAGGCGUUGUAGUCGUAGAGCCCGCCUCUUCAAAAGCGAAUAUAGCUGCGAUUGUGAGGGAGGCCUUUUCUAGUUAAAACUCUCUGUUGAUUCAGCCCCAAAGCUAGUUCGCUCCAUGGGGUUGAAGAUCUCAAUCUUUUCCCUCUUUUUUCUCCUCUUUCAUGUAGAAGGUCUUGUCGAUCCGAAAGAGAAUCGCAGCGGCGGCAGCUUGGAAUGGGAGAUCCUCACGAAGAAGAACUUCUCUUCUCAGAUCCGAAUCCACCCUCACAUCCUGCUCGUCGUCACUGUUCCUUGGUCUGGUGAGUCUCGAUCUCUUAUGAAGGAUGUCGCACAUCAGGCUGCUUCCAAACGAGAGAAACUCAACCAUCUAAGACUAAUGGUUGUAUAUAGAAAUGCUGAGAAGAUGCUAGCUGAUGUCCUUGGUGCUACUGAGGGAAUAACAAUAUUUUGUUAUCAUCACACCACGGCAUAUAAGUAUCAAGGGAGACUUCGGGCACGGAAUAUUCUAUCCUCAGCUUAUCAUCUCAUGUCACUUCAAUCUGAAGAACUCCCUCUGAAACAUCUAAACACCCCUGAAGAUCUGAAAGCAUUUCUUCGUUCAACAGAUAAAGCUGUACUUCUCCUAGAAUUUUGUGGCUGGACACCAAGACUGUUGCAGAAAAGUAAAGAUGAUGGAAGAGAACGUGUUUUGCAUGUAAGAGAUGCAUCACAGAACGAAAGCAUCUUUGGAGAAAAUUUCAAUGGAGAAGCAAGUAGAACAGUUCCAAUCAGCAGGAAAGAAAACCAGAAGGUGGCUGCACAGGGUUUACAAAAUGAAGAGCCGAUCUGUGGGGUUGAAACUGGGCUUGGCGGAAUUCCAUGGCUUGGAGACAUUAUGUUUGCAAAUCAAAAUGCUUCACUCAGAGUUGAAAAUAGAGUUGGUAUGGGGAUGUCUUGUACAUUUGAAGAGUUUCAGCGAUUUGAAUCUUUCUUCUCAAACUUUUCAACAAUUGCAAGAGAGUAUUUCCUGCCUCCUGAAAGGCAAAGGUUUGGUCUGGUUUCUGAAAGAUCUUUGCUAUCAUUUCUGGGUAUCAGAGAACCAGAUACAUGGUUGCUCAUGCUCCAGUUCAUUGGAUGCCCUAAUUGUUCAAAGAUACUCAAAGAAAGAGAUGACCUUAAGAAUGCCAUGCUGAUGCACCAUCCCCUUGUCACAGAGCUUGAAGGCGAGGGAGACGGUCUUGAGCCUGCAUUACCAGCAAACAGACCAUCGAUUGUUCUUUUUGUGGAUAGAUCAUCAGAAUCAUCGAAGAUAAGAAGAACAAGCAAAUCAGCUCUUGAAGAUUUUAGGGAAUUAGCCUGGGAAAAUCAGUUUUCUAACCAGAUGAUAACAGAACAAGACAGCAUUAAUACUGAGGGGUUCUCAUCACAAACUUUCCCUGGGAUGAGGAGUAAAGCUAUUUCAGACCCUUCUGGCCUUGCGACAAUGAAACUCUCACCAGCAACCAGGUUGGUGAAAUUCAAGGAUCAGAUGGCUUAUAUUAUUGAUGAUGGUGGAACCGGUAAUGCACAGGGAAACUCUGUUCGUGACGUUUUGGCAUACCUGCUUCAGCAGAAGAAUCCUCUGUUUCAUAUCAAGGAAGAAAAGAUAAGUGUUUUGGCAAGGGAAGCCGGUUUCCAGCUUCUGUCUGAUGAUUUUAAGGUGAAAAUAGUAGAUGCGUUGCCAUUGCGAGAGGGAAAUGAUCAAUCUGAAAAUCCAGAGUCUCAAAUAUCUGAACAGCCCAUAAAAUAUGUUGUUGAAAAUAGCAUUGACUUGAAGGACAAUAAUUUAUUGAAUAGUAUACCUUUGGUCGAGCAUGGGGAACAGCCUGAAGUCAUUGAGGUGGAAACUUCUCUUCAGGAUAACCAAGAAACUACAGCUCAACUUGAAGAAAAUGCACCACUAAUUACCACAGAAUCAACUCAAGAGGUUAAGAAAGGUGAACAUGAUACUGUUGAGAAUAUGGGCAUUAGUGACAACCAUAGCUGUAAAGAGAAGGAUGUGGGACCAUCAAUGCACCAUGCCAAACAGCCUUUUCCCUUGGAGCAGGACCCACAUGUGGAGCAUUAUCAUGACGAACACAUUCAUGAAGAUCAUGGCUUGCAUGCAGAAGGUGGCUUGAAUGACAUGUCUUCCAAUGAAAUAGAGUUGACUUGCAGUGGUGAUUGCUCGGGUACAGCUAUAAUAGGAAAUGUGGCAAAGGAGGAUAGUUCAACAAGAGGGGACAAAAUGGAGGAUUAUCAAAGUGAGCAUCAAGGUUUCAAGGGUUCCUUUUUCUUUUCUGAUGGUGGGUACCGAUUGCUUAGGAUGUUGACUGCAGACUCAAAGAUUCCAUCAGCAGUAAUACUUGAUCCAGUUUUGCAACGACAUUUCGUCUUUCCUGAAAAGACAGUGUUUAGCCAUUCUUCUCUAGUGCAUUUUGUUGAUGGAUUUCUGAAUGGAAGUCUUCCUCCCUACCAACGAUCAGAACCUUUUCCUGGUAGUCCAAGGGAGACCCCUCGGCCACCAUUUGUAAAUCUGGAUUUCCGUGAGGCUGACUCAAUCCCUCGAGUAACAGUAAAGAUGUUUUCGGAGUUGGUUCUAGGUGACCAAUGCAAUGGAGGAUAUGCAGUAUCAUGUUCUGACACUCAAAAUUUUGCCCCUGCCUGGAAGAAGGAUGUUUUGGUGCUUUUUAGCAAUACUUGGUGCGGAUUUUGCCAACGAAUGGAACUGGUAGUUCGUGAAGUAUAUCGAGCGUUUAAGGGUUAUGUGAAUGUGUUGAAGAGUGAAUCAAACAGUAGGCAAUCCACCUUUAUUCGAGAUAAUGUGGAUGAUGUUAUGCUUAAUGAGCUGCCGCUAAUUUUCUUUAUGGACUGCACAUUGAAUGAUUGCAGUGCACUACUGAAAUCAAUGGGUCAGAGAGAACUUUAUCCAGCACUGAUGCUAUUUCCAGCAGAGAAGAAGGAUGCUGUAUCUUAUCAGGGAGAUAUCUCAGUAGCUAAAAUCAUUGAGUUUAUAGCAGCUCAUGGAACCAAUUCUCACCAUCUCAGUCAAAACAAAGGUAUUUUAUGGACUGGAACACGAGGAGGUGGGAACAUGGAUGAAUUGCAUGAUGCAUCUUCUAGUUCCAUCCAUGAGACAACUGCAGUGAAGGGGGAUUACCAUGAAGUUCUACUGAACAGUACUCCAAAACAAAGAGAUAAACACCAUUCAAUCAGAUUGCAUACAUCAGAUGGCUUUCAGGAGGGGAGCCAACAUGUGGGCAUUGGAUCUGUUCUUACUGCCACUGACAAGCUUCUUAAUGCAUCUCCAUUUGAUAAAUCCAAAGUUAUUAUUGUGAAGGCAGAUCAAAAUGAGGGCUUUCAGGGUCUGAUUAUCAAUAAGCGCAUCAAGUGGGAUGUGCUGCCAGAUCUAGAGGAGGAGUUUGCGCCACUAAAACAGGCCCGUCUGUCCUUUGGAGGGCCAGUCAUAGCGCCUGGCAUGCCCCUUGUUAGCUUCACUCGAAGAGCUAAUGAAGCAGGAUACUUGGAAAUCUUUCCAAGUUUUUACUAUGGUGAUCAGUUAGCUACUAGUGAAGUGAUUGAAGGGAUCAAGUCAAUGAACCGAUCUGCUGUUGAUUUUUGGUUUUUCUUGGGUUACUCAGGUUGGGGUUGGGACCAACUCUCUGCUGAGCUAGCGGAAGGAUCAUGGCUCGUCGAUCAUUACCGGGUGGACCAGAUAUAUUGGCCAGAAAUUUGACACCUUCUCUGCCAAUUGCAUUUAUUGGUAGAUUCAGGGAAAAACCAGAUCGAUUUCUCUCCUUGCAUUCUUCAUAGCAACCCAUACUGCAUUACAUGUUAUUCAGUAAAUUGAGCAUUGAAGCUUCAACAGGAAUUAUUAAAGGCGGCGGAUUACCAAAGGAGAUCACAACAAAGAGGUGUUAGAGAUGUGUUGGUUUCAGUCGGUCCUCAGUCGGCUCCUCCUACAACUUGAUCGUUGGGACAUCUCCAGGAUGGGAUAAGGGCCACAGUUGAUAAUCUUCGGAAGAGGAAGAUGUUGAUCACCGAUGUCUACAUGUUGUGUAUGCAGAUUGAGGAGUCAGUUGACUGCCUCUUUAUUCACUAUCCCUUUGCUAGUGAGCUCUGGGAUAGAUUUUUGGAGAUUUUCAGUAUGUCGUGAGUGAUGCCGGAAUCUACUAAGGGCCUCUUUCUAUCCUGGCAUGGGGGCAGAAUUGGGAAAGAGAGGGAGAAUGCUAUGGCGACUGUCCUAUUGAUAGGCAUUUGGGCCUUAUGGGGAUAGGAAUAACCAGUGUUUCUGUAAUUAUACUAAGUUUCGAAGCAGGAUAAAAUUGGAUCUAAUGGAUUAGGCCUCAAAUGUUAAGACCCUUGAUGACUGUCCCCUAUCAUCUGUAUCUUGGGCCGUCUUGUAAUUUUUUUUGUGGCUGUUUUGGCCUUGCUCUAUUUUUAAUGAAAUUGUUAAUAUUCAAAAAUAAAUAAAUAAUUGUCUAGAUGUAUUGAGAUAUGACUGAAGGCGCUGUUUGCAAUUACUGAAAAGUUUUUGAAGGUGUAUACACGUCGAUAGUGACUAGAUGUCUGCAUACCGUCGCAAAUUGUCAGUGAUUGCAAUCUAUUUGGUCAUGUUAUGCAAACAGGCAAUAUAAUUAUUUUCAUGGCCACAACCCUCUUUCUAUGUGAAAGCAGUCAGUUGUAAAUACCAUUUCCCGUACAACUAUGUCUAGAUAGCGGAGGAUGUUUUUGUCUGCUCUCACUCUUGCCCUUCUUAAGCUUUACUUGAAACCCAUCAAACUUCAGUACAAGGCGUCAUGUGCAAAUAAAGAUCUUAGAACUGUGACUUCCACCUCCCUCUCCCAUUGUCCUCCUUCCCUUUCCUCAAUCUCAAAUAUGGAACCUUUGGCCUACUCUUCUGAUGGUUGAGCUCUGUUGGCUCAUAGCUGCCCAAACAUGGGAGCAGACCUUUUGACAAAAAAAAUCAGAUUCUCUGGAAGCGGUUUUUCCAAAGAGCAAACGGGAAGACAGUAGAAUGGGUGCUGGCCAUGUAGUAGAGAGGAGUGGCUCCUGGGGCGGUGUCUACCCUCUUCGGUCCCGAGUAAUUUCUCAUCAUCUGACUUGCAUUCCACUGGGCGUGUAGCUCUUUUGUUUGGUCUGUAAUAAAAUCAUUAUUACCAUUAAAAAUAAAUAAAUAAAAAAGAUAUCUUUUGGUCCAUGUGGGUAUGUUACAAGAAUAGGUAUGUAUACUUUGUAAUUGAUAACAUGCUUGUUCUAGAUCACAUUCCUUAACUCCAUUAGUCUAGACCACCUCUUAUCAACAUAAGCUUCCUUUCCACCAAUAUCUGCAAACAUACAUGCAUAAACCAAAUAUUUAUCUUGAGCAAAAUUUCUGAAUUCUGCAAUCCAGUGCACAUGCAAAUCUACAUACAUUCACUUGUCAACUUGCGUGAAUGAACCCAUGAAUAUGCUUUCACCAUAUGUAUCCAUCUACAAUUUACAUUUGCAUAUGUGCAUGCGAUUCUGUGUGUUUAGUUACAGUUACCAGGUAGAUUAAUACACAUGUGAAUACAUACUCAACUACAUGGAUAUUUGUGAAGCUUAGAUAAUGAGGUACCUACAUGUAUGCACACAUUGGUAUGUUGGCUUGCACACGCUUACUGAUAGGCAUGCACAUAUGCAUGUGUUCAUGCAUGUACUCAUCUAUGUAGUGUGCAAGCCUACUUAACUGCAUCUACACACACCUGCUUACAUGCACACAUUACCCGCACAUGCCAGCAUGCAUAUAGGGACGUGCUUGCCAUAAAGGGAAAGACUACUGGUUUUGAGUCAUGAAUGGCAAAAGUCGUAAUGCAUAUGCAUAUAUACGUGCAUGCAUUUUCACAUGAUUAGCUGCAUUCAUAAGCACUCGAUGUGCACAUACACAUACAUGCGGGCAUCAACAAUGCAUGCAUAUUCAUUCUCACAUGUGCGCAUUCGUUCAUAUGCCUAUGCAUGCAUUCUGACACACAUGUAUGUAUAUGUAACAAUGUGGGUUUGAUGGGAUAUGGGUGCCUCGUAUCAUAGCUACAGUAUGGGGGCAGGUCUCCGCUGUUGAAUUGCAUUGUGCUGAUGACGUGGUAACUGGAGGAUGCUAGUUACGCUUCCUCAACCUCUUGCACAUACAUUCUGACAUACAUGUAUGUAUAUGUAACAAUGUGGGUUUGAUGGGACAUGGGUGCCUCAUAUCAUAGCUACAGUAUGGGGGCAGGUCUCCGCUGUUGAAUUGCAUUGUGCUGAUGAUGUGGUAAUUGGAGGAUGCUAGUUACGCUUCCUCAACCUCUUGCACCCCUGAAAAAUCAGGUGAAAUUCUCUCCCUUCUCAAAGCAGAAGCUACUUAAGAAUGUUUGAUUUGCUAUAUAGAGUCAUAGCGAGAAUGAGGAUCCUGCAUGUUUUGCUCCAUUUGGGGCAUAGACUGAGAUGGUACAAUGAUUGGAGCUGUUCAUGUUUUGGAUUUUAUGCUACAUGAGCUAUCUUAAGAAACAUAUACCAUACAGAUGAUUGUGUGACAUGGGAUGGAUAAAAAGGAAAAAAAGAA